rnacentral:rRNA from 1 species
AUUGAACGCUGGCGGCAGGCCUAACACAUGCAAGUCGAGCGGAGGAAGGGAGCUUGCUCCUGGAUUCAGCGGCGGACGGGUGAGUAAUGCCUAGGAAUCUGCCUGGCUGUGGGGGAUAACGUCCGUAAACGGGCGCUAAUACCGCAUACGUCCUGAGGGAGAAAGUGGGGGAUCUUCGGGCCUCACGGUAUCAGAUGAGCCUAGGUCGGAUUAGCUAGUUGGUGGGGUAAAGGCCUACCAAGGCGACGAUCCGUAACUGGUCUGAGAGGAUGAUCAGUCACACUGGAACUGAGACACGGUCCAGACUCCUACGGGAGGCAGCAGUGGGGAAUAUUGGACAAUGGGCGAAAGCCUGAUCCAGCCAUGCCGCGUGUGUGAAGAAGGUCUUCGGAUUGUAAAGCACUUUAAGUUGGGAGGAAGGGCAGUAAGUUAAUACCUUGCUGUUUUGACGUUACCAACAGAAUAAGCACCGGCUAACUUCGUG